UGGUCAAGUUAUUAAGGGUGCAGGGCGGAUGCCUUGGCACUAGGAGCCGAUGAAGGACGUGAUAAGCGGCGAUAAGCUUCGGGGAGUUGCACGUAAACUUUGAUCCGAAGAUUUCCGAAUGAGGAAACUCACUUAGAGUAAUGUCUAAGUAUCAUUAAGUGAAUACAUAGCUUAAUGAGGGGAACUCAGGGAACU
rnacentral:rRNA from 1 species